GAGUUUGAUCCUGGCUCAGAUUGAACGCUGGCGGCAGGCCUAACACAUGCAAGUCGAGCGGAUGAGAGGAGCUUGCUCCUUGAUUCAGCGGCGGACGGGUGAGUAAUGCCUAGGAAUCUGCCUGAUAGUGGGGGACAACGUUUCGAAAGGAACGCUAAUACCGCAUACGUCCUACGGGAGAAAGCAGGGGACCUUCGGGCCUUGCGCUAUCAGAUGAGCCUAGGUCGGAUUAGCUAGUAGGUGGGGUAAUGGCUCACCUAGGCGACGAUCCGUAACUGGUCUGAGAGGAUGAUCAGUCACACUGGAACUGAGACACGGUCCAGACUCCUACGGGAGGCAGCAGUGGGGAAUAUUGGACAAUGGGCGAAAGCCUGAUCCAGCCAUGCCGCGUGUGUGAAGAAGGUCUUCGGAUUGUAAAAGCAC
rnacentral:rRNA from 1 species